rnacentral:lncRNA from 1 species
CCGCUCAAUGACUAUUGCAGUAAAAUGACGAUUAAUGUUACUAUAAUUAAUAAAAAUUCUCUCUAACCCAAUUUUAUUUAAAAUAAUAGUAAUAAUAAUGAAAAUGAAAGUGAAAAUAAAUUGAAUGUUGCACUAAAGGGCACGUUACAUGUUAUGUGUUACAAUUUAAAAUUUAAAUACAUCUCAAAGACUUACUAUGCCCAUGUGAAAGCAUUGUCAAGUGCUGCCAAAGCUCCCCCAACAAAAGGCUUAGGUGGAUUUGGAUCUUGAGCUAUCCACCAUCCAACAGGUAUUCUCACUGCAUCUAAUCCAUUUUGUGACAUAAAUCUGAAAUCAUCUUCAGUUAUGUAUAAAUUCCAAUGCUCCUGCAAAGCAAACAAAGUUCAACAAAAUUGAUAACUUCCAAUCUAGCAAGUUUACUAUUUCUCAUGAAAAUGCUCUUAGAUUUCUUACUCGCAUAACUUGAGGAGCUCUAUUUCCAUAACCAUUAGUAAGUUGGUACUCUCCUUGUAAUGUGUUUACAUUUGUCAUAUGAAAAACUGAUGGAUCAUUGUCAUCCCAAUUUGUGCCUUGAUAAUCUGCAAUCACUGAUGUCUUCGAUUGAACCUUCACACAUAUAUGAUCAAGGAUUAAUAACUAAAGUGUUGGAAAUGAAGAACAAUAUGUAUAUGUAAUUAUUAAUAACUUUGUUAGAACACUAGCAAUAAUAGUGGAAGUUGGAUAGAAUAAACACCUUAGCAAGAGCUAGUGUUGGUAUGACUUAAAAAUGUUCCACAUUGGAGUGUCAUACUACCUAGUAAUUGUUUAUAUAAGUUGGGAGUGGCUACAAGGAUGUACUCUUGGGGUACACAAUUUUGUGAAUCGGUGAGCGUUUAGAAAUUAUACAUAUUUCACACACGCGAUGUUGUCGUCCGUCCAGGCUGGACUUGGGUCCAAAAGAGAUUGUUUUUUUGUCAAUUGAAAUUGUUAAAUUAAUUUUUAUUACUUUAAUCAUUAUUCAAAAGUGUUUCAUUUGUAACAAAUAAAUUUGUUACGAUCCGAUCCAACAGAGUAUCUAGAAGGUUCCGGAUAUAUCCACACACGAAAACAAACGCGGUUUGUUUUAGAGUUAAUUCAUUUAAAUACUCUGUUUUUUGUUACGAACUCUUCAUAUAAAAUGAGAGUUCGUCUCACUUAUUCUUUACACCGAAAUUCACAGUUGAGGCUUCAUGUGCUUUUCCUCUCUUCUCCCUUUUUCAACUUGUGUUGACGAGUCAUUCUUCUGCUCCUUUCUGUCCCGUCGGUUUCGAGUGUUCUACGUACGGCCAUAUUGAGUGGUUUAAUCGAACGAUUGAUUAAACCAUAUUUUGAGGGUGUUAUUUCUCGAACGAUUACUUACGGUGCAGUACGUAAUCAAACAGGUGAACUUGGUUGUUUUAUCCUGGAGGCGGCGCGGUUGUUAAUUUGCCUUGCACAAACUCAGGUAGUGUCGCGAAACGUCUGGUAGAUUCGAUUUUAUUAAAGGUAAUUUUUUAAAAUUCGAAAAAACAACAAACUUAAACAGCAAUAUUUCACUAUAAAAAAAAGGUUAGAAACAUUCUCUUUCUAAUACUCGUAGAAAAAUGUUAGAAACACUCUGUUUCUAAUAUGCACUCUUUUAUUAGAUUAAACUCAUGUGGGUCUCACCACUUUAUGUAAAAUUUAUUUUUAGGCUUAAAUAUGUCUUUCGUCCCUGCAAAUAUAGGUCAUUUGAAUUUUCGUCCCUGAAGUUACUAAUCCUUCCAAUCUGCCCUUGCAAAUAUUAAUCAUUUGACUUUUGGUCCUAAUUAGGUUUUUUUGCUGAGGUGGGCUGUCAUUAGCGACGUGGUGCCCAUGUGGCAAGUGAUGAUUGGACGUGGCGAUUUGCUUAAAUAGGUCUUUCAUCCCUGAAAAUAUAGGUCAAUUAAAUUUUCGUCCCUGGAGUUACUAAUCAGAUGUAAUUAGGACCAAAAGUCAAAUAAGAGAGUAAAUAUUAGAAAGAAAAAAAAAAAGGGCGCAUAACACUCCUCAUUAUAAAGAAUGUUUGAAAUUAAGAAUUUCUACAUAGGAAGAAAGAAAAACUCAAGUGUUUAUAAGCAGUGGAGAGUUUGAGCCUCUUGGUUUGAUCUUUUUGAUCAUGAAUCUCCACGGUAAAAACACAAAUUAAACCACUACUGUCAGUCACACUCCAGUUGGCUAUGUGCAAUAAUCCAACCAAAAAAUUUGAUAGAAAAUUAGACCACAAAAUACAUGAAAUUUUUCCAAUUAUUUCUAGAUUAAAUAAGAUUUUCAUCCCUAUAAAUAUAUCAAAUUUUGAUUUUAAUCCCUAAAAAAUAAAAUGAGAUGUUUUCAUCCUCACAAAAAAUUUUGUUUUAUUUUUAAUAGAGUGCCAAAAUAUGAGACCAAUGUCAUUUUUUCAAAGUCUCUGAUAUCUAUAUUAGUAACUUGAUUUAAAAGAAUUGGUCUCUUAAGAUUACAUGAAUUGAUUUAAAUUGAUCAUUAGCUUGAGGAUGUAAUAAUAAGUACCUGCAAAAAUAGACCAUUUGAUGCUUUGAUUCGAAUUUUGAGGGGAUCAUCAUUAUUCCUUAUAAUCUGAAAUGUUUCUAGGUUGCUAGGUGAACCUGAAAAAGAUACAAUUGUGCUGCCUCCAAUAGUAUUUAACCCCACAAAUUUUUUGUUGAACACCCUAAAAUUGAAGGAUGAAUCACUGACCCUCCAAAGCUGCAAAUGAGCCAAUAAUUAGAACUUAACUUACCAAGUUUAAUCAAGACAAGAUUUAUAAAUUUACUAGAUAUAUACAUUACAUACCCUAAAUGUUUCCCAACCAGAAGGUGAACUACGGUCGGCUACAAUGGUAGUUCCUCCCCCAUUUUCAGCGCAAAGAUAUGUCUGGAACUUUCUUGACAUGAAUUGUACUUGAGUUCCAUCCUAAAAUCAUCAAAUAUCAAAAUCUUAACAACGGAGCAUUAAAUAUCUACUUUCUUUUAAAAGUUUAUAAGGUUUUUAGAAAAAAAAUAAUUAUAAGUUAAUUCAAGUAGUUUAUAACUUACCAUUAUUAUCUCAAUUUAAUCCUUACAAUCUAAAUUAAAACAAUAUAUUAAUUAAAUAUAUGAUUUUUAUAUCAUUUCAUAUUUAUAAAUUAGUUCAACCACCAAUUUCAUCAAACAUUACAAAUUUAAUCAGCUAAUUUAUUUGUUAUCAACUUUAAACUAACUUAUCACUUAUCCGUUAUAAGUUCAUCCGCUUGGUCUAUUUCCAUAUUUAGCUUAAAAUUAAACUAGACAAUGAUGAAUAAACGAGGAAGGUGUAUAUUUUGAGAGAAAUAAAAAAAAAAUUAGAAAUGAUAUAAAAAAUAAAAGAUAAAAUUAGAAAGAAAUAAAAAAAAAAAACACAUCCAAAAUUCUAUCUCAUUUUUAAUACUCUCUCCGGUAUAUUUAUAAGCAAAAAAAUAAUUAAUUAGAUUCAUUGAAUAACUAGUGUAUCUAAUCUAUAUAAUGGUCAGAUACAUUAUUUAUAAGUUGUUUUUUGUUUAUAAAUGUGACUAAAGAGAUUAAUAUAAAGGCUAAACUGCACUUUUCGCACCCUAAGUUUCAAAAUGUUUCGAUUUUAGCCCCCUAUUAAAAAAAUGGCAAAACCCUGAUGUUUAGGAAAAUAUACUCUUUUGACCCCCUAACAUAAGGAAAUGUGAUCUUUUGACCCCUUAUCUUCUCAAAAAGUUGCGAUAAGGGCCAUUGUUUUGGGACAUGUGGCGUCUUCUCAGCAAUUUUGUGACAAAAGGGACUAAAAUUGCUAUUUUUUAUAAUAGGGGACCAAAAUCGCAACAUUUUAAAACUUAGGGAGCGAAAAGUGCAGUUUAGCCUAAUAUAAAUACUCAAAACUUAUUAUUAUAUUAAUUACUUUGUCCGCCCCUCUUUAAAAAAAAAAAACUACUUUGUCCGCCCUAACGGAUGAAAUACUUAUUAGAGUAGUUAGAUGAAUUAUGAUACUUAUAUUAAUAGAAAAAUGUGAUCAAUGUUUUGUUCACAAUAUUCUUUUGUUUUUGUUUUUAGUCAAGUAGCCUAUUAGUUAAAGUUCGCACAAUUUAACUGUCGAGAAGUGGAGUGUCCGGGGGUUCGAACCCCGGCCCCUACAUAUAAAAUGCAAUAUCCCUACCAAUUGAGUUAAGCUCACGGGGAUCUUGAUCACAAUAUUCUAAAAUAACUAAUAAUAUUAUUCUAUUUUUUUGUGUUAAGAGUUCGUACCCCAGACCUUGCAUAUAUUAUGCAUCGUCCCUUUUUUUUUUUUUGUGGUGGCCGAAGUUCGAACCCCGAACCUUGCAUAUAUUAUGUAUUGUCCAUACCAACUGAAUUAAGUUCACGAGUACCAUCGUCCUUACCAACUGGGCUAAGCUUACGAUGACUAAUAAUAUUCUUCUAAAAAAAAACUAAUAAUAUGUUUGAGAAAAUCAAAUAUUCCAAAUGAGAGACGUAAUAUAAUAUAAGAAGAAUAUUGAAACAUAUAAAAUGAUUUUUUUUUAAAAUAUACCAAGAGAUCUUUGUUGACAAUUCCGUCAAAGCGAGAUGGUUCCAUCCAUCCUUCAGCAACAAGCCAGUUUCCUAAAUUCACAGCUUUGUAAGCAAACGAAAGAGAGUGAAGACAUGAAAUACAUAAAGCCAAUAAGAAGCUCAAAUAAUACUUUCGAUAUUCCAUUUUUUGAAUGAUCCUGAGUUGGCUAUCACCAAGGGCACUAUUUAUAGCCUCUGAUGAAGCUUUAAAAUAUUGAUCAAUAAUAUUUUUAAAUUAAUGUUGCUCCACAUUGUCUUAUUCUUAUUUCCUAGUGUCAAGAUGGAUGCCUACUAACAAUGCAUGAUUUUAAUAUUUUAACCAAAAUCAGGGGCGGAGCUAGGUUUUAUACAUCGGGGGACCAAGUCUUAGAAAGUAUAAUUUUAGUGUGUCCUAUGAACCCUUUGUUGUAUCCUCUUCAACAAUCUUCUCAAAGAUAUUCGAAUACGCACAUUGAGGAAUCAAGAAUAGACUUUUCUCAUCUUUGUUUUUGUGUUCAUGAUGUGUUGCCAUAUAUGUAUUACUGCCAUUGUUCUCCAAUGCAGGGUAUGCCAUCAUUCACGAUUUCAGGAACAUCUUGAAAUCUAAAUAUGACUUUAAUUUGCGACGUACCAUAUUAUUUACCAGUGUUAAACAAUAGGACUAGUUUUGAUUAUUACAAAUAGGAUUAAAUUAGAAAUCUUAGGAUAUGUUGUGCAAUCUUUUUUCAAAAAAUGUAUGAAUGUUCAUCAUAUUUAUAGGUUGCUUUAUAAACAAGAUGAAGAAAACUGUUUUUGUAUGAAGAUAAUUGUCUUUCGACAGAGAUAAGUAAAGAAAAUGCAAGUAAAAUACUUAAAAGUUUAAACGCAGAAACUUGAACAAAAGGUAAAUUGCAUUGCAUUAAUGUAAAGGUGAUUAGACAAAUCAGAUUUAAAUACAUUAUGUGACUCGUUUCUCUGGACGCUGGUACUUUGAGUGCUAUAAUUCAAUAAGGGAUUUGCGACAUUUUUUUGUUAUGAAAAACUACUAUAUAUACAUAUAGAAAAAAUAACUGCAAAGACCUAAAUUGCUAUAAACUGCAUGUCUUCGUCGAGAACUACAUGUUUUCCACGUGUCUGAGAACUACUAUAUAUGUAUAGAUAAUGGAAUGAUAAAAUUACAAUGAUCGAUGUGUCUUAUAUAAUAUGAGCUAACUAACAACUAACAAACUGAAAAUUCUCAACAAACCUUAGAGACUUAACUAACUUGUCCUACAAGUUACCAAUCUAGAACCACUACUAAAAAAAGCAAAAUUAGCGAGGGAAAUUAGUGACGGAAAAAUGAAAUUCCUCACAAAUUCCUUGGUCGCAAAAUUUAGUGACGGAAUUAGAGAGAGAUUUUACGUUUUCCCUCACUAAUUUUUAUUUUUUUAGUAGUGGACCACACUAAUUUUCUUAUUUCACAAGCAAUUAGCAUCUACAUGGCAAUACAAUUUUUUAAAACAUAAAUAGAUGAGAGUUGAAUUGACUUAUGCGUCACAAUUGAACUGUUUGAUAUUAGUGACAUAUUCCCUCUUUGAUUAUACAUAAAAUAGAGUCCGUAUAUAGGGCCGUUUUUAUGGAUGUGGAAAGAGAUCAAUAUCAUAGCCUUAAAAUUUUGAGGGUGAAUUUUAAGUUUUAAAAUUUUGAGGGUGAAUUUUAAGUUUUCGUUGAUUCAAUUAGUAAAAAUAUAAUAUUUUAAAAUAAUUUCUAUAGUCCAACAACAGUUUCUUUUUAUUAAAACACAAUUCUUAAGAUUAGAACAAGACUUCAAGUCUUCUAAGAUGUAACCUCAAACAAAAAAAGUCUUCUAAGAUGUUUAAGACGGUCAUGUGUGUGCAUAUAUGUUAACCUUAAGUAUUUCAUUAAACUAUAAAGAGACUGAACUGAAUCCAUAUUCAUUAAAUUAAAAGUUGUGUGGAAAAAAAAUGAGAAAAAAUGGGGUCUCACCUCCGUGCUGAAAUUAAACUAUGUUGAACUUUUUUUGUUGAUAAUGGGUUAGAGUAUUGUAUCGAAAUUAACAUGUGUAAAUUUGUACAUGAUAGAAAAAUCAAUUUAAUAAACCGCACAAUCGAAAUUAAGCACCAACUUCAUUAGGAGGAGAACAAGCACAUUCAUUAAUUAAUCAGUUCUAUAUUUGAAGAUGGCCAAUAGAACAAAUAUAUAAUGUUGAAAAGUAUAUUGAUUGCAUUUCCACUAGAUAAUACUCUCUCAAGCACCACUCUAAAAAUAAGUCUCCACUGAUGACCACUCACAAGAUGGCGGCUUACCAUUGGCAAAUGACCUAAUUUUCUGAUGGUGGGCAGUCGAUGUAUCCAUUGAAAUAAUAGUUAAAUAUUUAGCAGCCCUAAUUCUCUCUCUCUCUCUAUAACCACUUCCUCAUUCUCCGUUCUUCUCUCGUUCUCUAAAUUCAUUCAUUGUUAUGGUUACUUGUUUUGCAAGAAAACAAUAGCUGCGCUAAUAGGGCCAACACCAACACUAACACAUCAUAAAACCAUCUAGUAAAAACCAAGAACUACACUAUUACCCCCCAAUUUUAGUCCUCAAUCAGCAUGACAGCAUCACCACUACACCCAUGCUAGCAACAGUCACUGCAGAAGUAGUCAAGAUAACAGAUUAAACAUAUACUUUUCUAAUACCAUUGUAUGAUAUCAGUGGGACACAAGCUCACAAAGUUAUAACUAAGAGAACAAUGGAGAAUUUCUUUGAACACACACUAAUUUUAUUGUCGAAGUCUUGAUGAUACAAUAUGGUACAAGCAUGUGCCUUUUAUAGGCUCUUAAACUUAAUGUCGGUUACUAGAUUUUUCUAGCUAUGGAUGGUGCUAGAUUAUUCCUAUAGAGGUGGUGUACAAUCAGCACUAGAUUAUUCUUUUGGUUACAAGAUUAUUCUAGGUGGUGCUACAUAAUAUAGAUAUUUUUAACUCUUAAUGACAAAGAGUAACUCCAAGCUUCUAUACUCUUCUAGAUAUUUCUUGAUUUAAUUUCUAACAUUGUACUCGCCUUCGUUUUAUGGUCGAACCUUCUUUUGCCUAAGCAUUCACAAUAAAAUUCGCUUCUCGAUUAAUAUGCACAAACGAAACCUUCUCAAUAACCUGCUGAUUCUAUUAUCAUUCUCAAAUGUCAAUUCCCACGGGCAAGCAUCCAAAUUAUUCACCCAAGAUAGAGCAUUCUUUGAGUCAAACUCAAUUGUGAUCUCACCAUGUUUAAGCCACAACCACUAACAUAUAUAGCUCCAAUGCAAACAACACAUCUAAGAAUUCAGCUUGAAUUUAUCGUGUUUGAUUAGUAUUUUUAAGAUGACAUGAGUAAACAAUUUUUAUGUAAUAUUUUGACCAUCAAACAUUGCAGGUUUAUGUGCUAGUAAUACUAUUUUUUUUUUAGGGAAUGUGCUAGUAAUAUUUUGAGAUUAGAGAAAUCAAGAAUUUUAUUCAACUAAUAUUUUAUUACAUUAUUCUAUUAUUUAGAGUUUGUUGGGAUGGUGGAACUCAAUAGAUUCUUCUUUUGAUUCCAAAAGACCAAAACAAUAGGGAAAAAACUGCUUAGUGAUAUUUUUAGGUAACAAUAAAACAUGAUGAUAAAUUGAUAAUAUACAGCAAAAUAAAAGCAAUAUUUUUGUAGCUUAGUGAAAUAAUUAACCUCCAAUGUAUUCUUGCCCAGAAAUCUAUGUGCAAUUGAGUUCUUCCAAUAUAGUUGUUGCUUAAAGAAUUUGAAUAUGCAUUCAUAUGUUGAACUAUAGUAUUUUAUUCAUUAGAGUAACCACAGUACAUGCAAGGGUGUUUCUCUUUCCCCACCCUUACUACUAAAAAUUUCUCAUAUUUUUCGGAGCAUGAAUUCAAAUAACAAAUUAUUUAUAAAAUAUACAAUCAUAUAGCAAAAGUUUGAUAGUUUUUUUAGAAGCAUACAUUUGAAGCAAUGUUGGGUUGGCAAAAGAACCCCCCCCUACAUCUAGGACGGUUGCUCUCCUCCCCCAUGUUACUUGAAAUCCCUCACAUCCUGUCGGAAGCUAUCUCUCGGUACACUUUUUUUACUCAGCUUUAUGUAACCAUUCUCGAUCAUCCACUUAAGGCUCCAACGAUUAAACUGACAUUUGUAGGACCAAUAAGCCCAUCCAAAUGUUGCCCGAGAAUACACAUCCAAUUGGGCUUGGGCGAAGUUUUGGAAAUCUUGCUUAGACGCAUUUUGUAUGGUCCACUCACCCGUCCAUUCCCCUACAAAAAGAAAAAACAUAUCAAAAACAUAUAGUUAUCCCCAAUAUAUACUAUGCAUGAGUUAGUUAGCAUUUGCCAUAUUUCAUAUAUGUAUUAAAUCACAUUUCAUCCCUAUCUCCACACACAUAUAUAUACCAAUAAAAUUGGUAGGAUUUGGUUUUUACCUAUAAAAGUAAGAGCAUUUGUUGAAGAUACACCAGCAAGAUCUGAUGCUCUUUCAUUUCUUAUGAAGUCGAUAUUUUGUUGAACAUUCAUGCCAUUGAAUUUUUCCCAAAACAUAUUGUAGUAAUGCACAUCAAGGACUACUUUGUUGAAGCCACUAACAAAUGAGAGAAGAGCUUUAGAAUCUCCAUCCAAUGGAUUUGACAUGAUCACAUAAGCCUCUGGGUUGUAUUUUCUCACAGCAUCAUAAGCUGCCUUGUAAUACUUCUUGAGACUAUCAAGAUUGACACCUUGUGGCUCAUUCAUCAGCUCUAUUCCUCCUAAACUUGGUUUAUUACCAUACCUGUCCACAAAUUCAAUUCAAGUAUAAAUAAUUCAAUUACUUGGGUCAUAAUAUCAUAUCAUAUAUUCCAAGAAAUUUAAGUGUGAGUCCAAAAUUGAUUAGAAAUGUAUUAAUAGAUUAAAUGGAUAAUAUGUGAAAGAGGUGACUCAUAUAUGUAAUGUCUUCAGUCUUAUUCGCUACGCUUCAUACCUACAUACUUGUAGGUUCAAUUACUUGAAUAUUCUACUACAUCUAUUUGUAUCCAAUAUGUGACUAACCACCACUCAUACUUAAAUUCGAAUAUAAAGAAGAAAUUAGAUGAUUAUCUAGAUACAAAACCUUUGUGCUAAGAAAUCAAUCACAGCUACUGUCUGAGGUAUGUAAGAAUCACCCCAUUCUGUAUAUCCAUCUCUUGUUCCACUAUGUUCAUUGCCAUUUUGAGAACCUUCAACAGCAUGCAAAUCUACAAUCACUUUCAUCUCAUGAUUUCUGCAAUUUAGAAAGAUAUAUUCUUGAUUUGCAAUCUUAAAACAUCAAUUAAAAUACAUUGAAUGUUGCGCAUAAAGUAUACAAUACUUGUUAUAUGUUACAAUUUAAUUAAAGGUUUAAAUAAACUUUUGGUCUCAUUAUUUUGAUUGAUUUUUUAUUUUAGAUGUGACAUUUUUAAAUUUGAAAUCAUAGUCCUCCAAUUUUUAAAGUAUCAAAACAUUCCCCACCAUUGAAUAUGGAGUUUUUUUAAUGAUGCAUUACGUUAAAAAAAUGAGGUGGCAAGUCACAAGUGAUAAUAUGAUAAUGUUUAUUUUUUUGGGAAAUCUGAUUUAGUAGAGUUUGCAUUUUCUUUUGUUAUUUUUAAGUAAUUCUUUAAUAAUAUAAAAAAUAAAAUAAUAUGAUUUAUUCUACAUGUGCAUUACCACAUCACUCCAUGACUUUCCAACUCAUUAGUCAACUUUUUAUUUUGAAAGAAACUCAUUGGUCAACUUGACACAUCAAUAAAACUAAGCUGCAAAAUUCAAUGAUGGUGAAAACUUCUGAAAUUUUAAAAAAUAUGGGACUAUAAUUUUAGAUUUUGAAAGAACUUCAAAAUCUUGAAUCAAUAAAAAUGUAAGACCAAAAGUACAUCUAAAUCUUAAGGCCAUUAUUUUUUUUUUUACCAUAUGAGUUUCUCGUGCGUCCUAUUUGGAUUCUAAAAUCUAAAAUGUUUCAACGUGAUUUAGGAGGUUUGUAUAGGGUGUUUAUUUCGUUCGGAUUCUAUAAUCCAAACAGUAUAGAGCGUGCGGGAAACUCAUAGGGUGGAAAAAGAAACACUGAAAUCUUAAUUAAAAUAUCUCUCAAGACUUACUGUGCCCAUGUAAAAGCAUUGUCAAGUGCAGCCAAGGAUCCUCCAACAAAAGGCUUAGGUGGAUUUGGAUCAUAGGCUAUCCACCAUCCAACAGGUAUUCUGACUGCAUCUAAUCCAUUUUGUGACAUAAAUCUGAAAUCAUCUUCAGUUAUGUAUGAAUUCCAAUGCUCCUGCAAAGCAAAC